AAUGAACGCUGGCGGCGCGCCUAAUACAUGCAAGUCGAGCGAGAAGACGUAGCAAUACGUUUGUAAAGCGGCGAACGGGUGAGGAAUACAUGGGUAACCUACCCUAGAGUGGGGAAUAACUAGCCGAAAGGUUAGCUAAUACCGCGUACGCUCCUUGGACUUCGGUUCAGGGAGGAAAGCGAUGCCGAGGGUAUCGCGCUCUUGGGAUGGGCUCAUGUCCUAUCAGCUUGUUGGNGAGGUAACGGCUCACCAAGGCUUCGACGGGUAGCUGGUCUGAGAGGACGAUCAGCCACACUGGCACUGCGACACGGGCCAGACUCCUACGGGAGGCAGCAGUAAGGAAUAUUGCGCAAUGGGCGAAAGCCUGACGCAGCGACGCCGCGUGA
rnacentral:rRNA from 1 species